UCAAGUACUUGAUCGAUAACACGUCUCAUCGUGUUAUGAAAUCCAUGGAACUUAAAAUAAUAAUAUCAAUUUAAAAAAAAACGUAUGAGCUUAGAAAACAGCUGUUAAAAAAAAUGUUAUUUUUCCUCCGACUGUACGGACUAAGGAGGAAACGGAGUAAACAGAGAGCUUCGCCGGAAUCAUAAGGGGGAAAAUGGGGGUGAUUUUGAGCGCGUUUGAUGUAUGAGAGACAGGAUGUUGCUCAUCCACAAGCUCUGGUGCUGGUCCUAUUUUCUUGUUUAUAGGUAGACUGUGAAGACUUGCUAUGGACAACCGCUUGUUCUCCGCGCUUAGAGUCACUUGAUGAACAACACUCUUGUACUGUCCAUUGCUCAUCACUUCUAUUUGAUCUCCCAAUUGGACUAGUAAGGCGCCUUCAACAAAUGGAACAGAGAGCCAUUUCUUCUUGUUGUCCUGUAGCUGUAGCCCUGGGCCACUCUGAAGCAGGACAGUUAGCGUUCCGUAAUCUGAGUGUGGUGGCAUACCUAAUGUGAGGUCUGGUUCAGGACAAGCUGGAUAGCAAUUAAUGGCCAUUAGUUGAUUGCCUUCUUCAAUUUCCUUCUGCGCCUUGUAUAGUAUCAAGUGUUAGAGACCUUUGAGAAGCAUGGUGCAAGGUGGAAAGGUCUAUAAUGGGAAGGGUUGUGGUGAGGUCAAGUGUAAGGUUCGGACGUUGCGAUGGAGGAAGAACAUAGCGUUGAGGCACAUGAGGUACCCUCAUCUUGGAAAGAAGAAUAUAGCAAGAGAAGCCACAGAAGAACUUUAAGCAUGAGGGCGUGAAAAGGACAAAGGUGAACGCGGGACCCACGCGAAAACGCUAUGAUGUUAAACCUGAAUGGGUACCGAAAACAAAGUCGCUGUACAUUUGGGGGCUGUGACACCCACACACGCAAUUAUGGAGCUUGAAGAAGUUUUUAGUAUAUCACCAUAUUUAUAAACGUCAGACAUGAGGCAUUUGAUCAUGUGGAAACUAGUGGAAGAAUUAAAAUAUUUAUAUAUUUUUUAACUUAUUCUGGUAUGAUAUACUGAUGUAGUUAACAUUGAAUUUGUAUCAAUUCUAUGCUGCUGCGUCUACCUUGUUUGAAUAUGAA